rnacentral:rRNA from 1 species
AGUGAACGCUGGCGGUAGGCCUAACACAUGCAAGUCGAACGGCAGCACAGUAAGAGCUUGCUCCUACGGGUGGCGAGUGGCGGACGGGUGAGGAAUACAUCGGAAUCUACUUUUUCGUGGGGGAUAACGUAGGGAAACUUACGCUAAUACCGCAUACGACCUACGGGUGAAAGCAGGGGAUCUUCGGACCUUGCGCGAUUGAAUGAGCCGAUGUCGGAUUAGCUAGUUGGCGGGGUAAAGGCCCACCAAGGCGACGAUCCGUAGCUGGUCUGAGAGGAUGAUCAGCCACACUGGAACUGAGACACGGUCCAGACUCCUAAGGGAGGCAGCAGUGGGGAAUAUUGGACAAUGGGCGCAAGCCUGAUCCAGCCAUACCGCGUGGGUGAAGAAGGCCUUCGGGUUGUAAAGCCCUUUUGUUGGGAAAGAAAAGCAGCAGGUUAAUACCCCGCUGUUCUGACGGUACCCAAAGAAUAAGCACCGGCUAACUUCGUG